rnacentral:rRNA from 1 species
GUGGGGAAUAUUGCACAAUGGGGGAAACCCUGAUGCAGCGACGCCGCGUGAGUGAAGAAGUAUUUCGGUACGUAAAGCUCUAUCAGCAAGGAAGAAAAUGACGGUACUUGACUAAGAAGCCCCGGCUAACUACGUGCCAGCAGCCGCGGUAAUACGUAGGGGGCAAGCGUUAUCCGGAUUUACUGGGUGUAAAGGGAGCGUAGACGGUAUGGUAAGUCAGAUGUGAAAGCCCGGGGCUCAACCCCGGGACUGCAUUUGAAACUAUCAGACUAGAGUGCAGGAGAGGUAAGUGGAAUUCCCGGUGUAGCGGUGAAAUGCGUAGAGAUCGGGAGGAACACCAGUGGCGAAGGCGACUUACUGGACUGUAACUGACGCUGAGGCGCGAAAGUGUGGGGAGCAAACAGGAUUAGAAACCCUGGUAGUCC